CGGAAGGUCCGGGCGUUAUCCGGAUUUAUUGGGUUUAAAGGGAGCGUAGGCCGGAGAUUAAGCGUGUUGUGAAAUGUAGUGGCUCAACCUCUGCACUGCAGCGCGAACUGGUCUUCUUGAGUACGCACAACGUGGGCGGAAUUCGUGGUGUAGCGGUGAAAUGCUUAGAUAUCACGAAGAACUCCGAUUGCGAAGGCAGCUCACGGGAGCGCAACUGACGCUGAAGCUCGAAAGUGCGGGUAUCGAA
rnacentral:rRNA from 1 species